rnacentral:rRNA from 1 species
UCAAGUUAUUAAGGGUGCAGGGCGGAUGCCUUGGCACUAGGAGCCGAUGAAGGACGUGAUAAGCUGCGAUAAGCUUCGGGGAGUUGCACGUAAACUUUGAUCCGAAGAUUUCCGAAUGAGGAAACUCACUUAGAGUAAUGUCUAAGUAUCAUUAAGUGAAUACAUAGCUUAAUGAGGGGAACUCAGGGAACUGAAACAUCUAAGUACCUGAAGGAAGAGAAAGAAAUUCGAUUCCGUAAGUAGCGGCGAGCGAACGCGGAUUAGCCCAAACCAAUAAAGUUUUCUUUGUUGGGGUUGCGGACAUAUCAUAACGAAGAGGUAUCGUAAUUGAAGAGGUUUGGAAAGACCCACCACAGAAGGUAAUAGUCCUGUAUGUUAAACGAGAAGACUUCAGAUAUGAUCCAGAGUACCACGGGACACGUGAAACCCUGUGGGAAGCAGGAGGGACCACCCUCCAAGGCUAAAUACUACCUAGUGACCGAUAGCGUAUAGUACCGUGAGGGAAAGGUGAAAAGAACCCCGGGAGGGGAGUGAAAUAGAACCUGAAACCCUGCACUUACAAGCUGUGGAAGCACAUUUCUUGUGUGACCGCGUACUUUUUGUAGAACGGGCCAACGAGUUACGUUAAGUAGCAAGGUUAAGCACUUAAGGUGCGGAGCCGUAGCGAAAGCGAGUUUUAACUGAGCGUUCAGUUACUUGACGUAGACCCGAAACCGGGCGACCUACCCAUGAGCAGGAUGAAGCGAAAGUAAAAUUUCGUGGAGGUCCGAACCCACGAGCGUUGAAAAGCUCGGGGAUGACUUGUGGGUAGCGGUGAAAUUCCAAUCGAGCCCGGAGAUAGCUGGUUCUCCCCGAAAUAGCUUUAGGGCUAGCCUCAAGGUGAGAGAUACGGAGGUAGAGCACUGAAUGUCCUAGGGGGUAUUGCACCUACCGAAGACUAUCAAACUCCGAAUGCCGUCAUCUUAUACUUGGGAGUCAGACUGUGGGUGAUAAGAUUCAUAGUCGAAAGGGCAACAGCCCAGAUCGUCAGCUAAGGUCCCUAAAUGUAAGUUAAGUGGUAAAGGAUGUGGGAUUGCACAGACAACCAGGAUGUUGGCUUAGAAGCAGCCACUCAUUCAAAGAGUGCGUAAUAGCUCACUGGUCGAGUGAUCCUGCGCCGAAGAUUUCCGGGGCUAAAACUUACUACCGAAGCUACGGCAUCAUUAUGAUGGGUAGGGGAGCUUCCCAUACGGGUUGAAGCAUGACCGUAAGGACAUGUGGACAGUAUGGGAGUGAGAAUGUUGGCAUGAGUAGCGAGAUGUGGGUGAGAAUCCCACAGGCCGUAAACCCAAGGUUUCCAGGGGAAGGUUCGUCCACCCUGGGUUAGUCGGGACCUAAGCUGAGGCCGAAAGGCGUAGGUGAUGGACAACAGGUUGAUAUUCCUGUACUACCGAUAACCGUUUGAGAGAAGGGAUGACACAGUAGGAUAAGCUAAGCACACUGUUGGUUAUGUGUGCCCAAGCAUUGAGGCAGUCAAAGCAGGCAAAUCCGCUUUGAUAAUGCUGGGAUGUGAUGGGGAGCGAAAUUUAGUAGCGAAGUAGCUGAUUUCACACUGUCAAGAAAAGUCUCUAUCGAGGUUAAAGGUACCCGUACCGCAAACCGACACAGGUGGGUGAGGAGAGUAUCCUAAGGCCAGCGAGAGAACUGUUGUUAAGGAACUCGGCAAAAUGACCCCGUAACUUAGGGAUAAGGGGUGCCACCAUCCGGUGGCCGCAGAGAAUAGGCCCAAGCGACUGUUUACCAAAAACAUAGGUUUCUGCUAAGUCGCAAGACGAUGUAUAGGAGCUGACGCCUGCCCGGUGCUGGAAGGUUAAGGGGAUCUGUUAGAGCAAUCGAAGCAGUGAACUUAAGCCCCAGUAAACGGCGGCCGUAACUAUAACGGUCCUAAGGUAGCGAAAUUCCUUGUCGGGUAAGUUCCGACCCGCACGAAAGGCGUAACGAUUUGGGCACUGUCUCAACAACAGACUCGGUGAAAUUGUAAUUCCGGUGAAGAUGCCGGAUACCUGCGACAGGACGGAAAGACCCCAUGGAGCUUUACUGUAGCUUGACAUUGGGGCUUGGUACUACAUGUACAGGAUAGGUGGGAGGCUUUGAAACCAGGACGCCAGUUUUGGCGGAGCCAUCCUUGGGAUACCACCCUUGUAGUACUGGGACUCUAACCAUAGGCCAUGAAUCUGGUCUUGGGACACUGUCAGGUGGGCAGUUUGACUGGGGCGGUCGCCUCCCAAAAGGUAACGGAGGCGCUCAAAGGUUCUCUCAGUACGGUCGGAAAUCGUACGUAGAGUGUAAAGGCAAAAGAGAGCUUGAUUGCAAGACAUACAGGUCGAGCAAGGAUGAAAAUCGGACUUAGUGAUCCGGUGGUUCUGCGUGGAAGGGCCAUCGCUCAACGGAUAAAAGCUACCCUGGGGAUAACAGGCUUAUCUCCCCCAAGAGUCCACAUCGACGGGGAGGUUUGGCACCUCGAUGUCGGCUCAUCACAUCCUGGGGCUGUAGUAGGUCCCAAGGGUUGGGCUGUUCGCCCAUUAAAGUGGUACGCGAGCUGGGUUCAGAACGUCGUGAGACAGUUCGGUCCCUAUCCGUCGCAGGCGUAGGAAAUUUGAGAAGACCUGUCCUUAGUACGAGAGGACCGGGAUGGACGUACCUCUGGUGUACCAGUUGUUCUGCCAAGGGCAUGGCUGGGUAGCUAUGUACGGAAUGGAUAAGCGCUGAAAGCAUCUAAGCGCGAAGCCAACUUCAAGAUAAGAUUUCCCACCGCAAGGGUAAGACCCCAGAAAGACUAUCUGGUUGAUAGGUCGAAGGUGUAAGUGCAGCAAUGUAUUUAGCUUAUCGAUACUAAUAGGUCGAGGACUUGACCAA